UACUCGCAAUAGCUGGGACGGGGCAGCAACCUAAGUGCUGAUGGAGGUCUGGGUGCACAGGGUGCGAGCUGGUCACUAUGUCAACACUCUCCAGCUGUAAGGAAAGGAAUCGAUACCCGCUCCAGCGACAUGGAAAGAACUCGAGGGAAUGGUGUGGAGUGAAGUCAAUCAGCAGGACAAAGACAAACAUUGGAUGUUUCCAUAAAUAGCCUCGCCGGGAGCUGUCUGUUCCAGGGCCCUCCUGUCAGAUCACAGGGCUGAAGCCAGAGGGGAAGGACCAAGCCCUUAGGAGGUGCCCAUCAAGGAAACCUCUCAUCCUGUCACCCGAACAUCAACCGAACCUGGCCUGCUGGAAGUUUUACAAUGAAUAGUCACUGAACCAAUGGGGUACCAGAAGCUUCCACCAGCCAAAGUCCAGAGGAGAGGUUUCUGGGAGCGAGGAGUGUCAGACAACAGAUAACUUAUCCAGGGCCAGGCCUUUUGCCCCGCCCUCCGGCCUCUUUUGUGCAGGAGCCGGAGAGCAAUUAACCAUCCGGGCUUGGUUACACCAUAGAGGACGUGGGUGAAGCAGGAGUGUGAAGACCGAAGGAAGGCUGGGCCCCAGGUAAGCCAAGUCUGCAGUCUGGCCUGGCGUUGGCAGCUGCGUGGCCUUAGGUGAGUUUUGCACC